AUUGAACGCUGGCGGCAGGCCUAACACAUGCAAGUCGAGCGGAUGAAGGGAGCUUGCUCCUGGAUUCCGCGGCGGACGGGUGAGUAAUGCCUAGGAAUCUGCCUUGUAGUUGGGGAUAACGUCCGUAAACGGGCGCUAAUACCGCAUACGUCCUUAGGGAGAAAGUGGGGGAUCUUCGGACCUCACGCUAUCAGAUGAGCCUAGGUCGGAUUAGCUAGUUGGUGGGGUAAAGGCCUACCAAGGCGACGAUCCGUAACUGGUCUGAGAGGAUGAUCAGUCACACUGGAACUGAGACACGGUCCAGACUCCUACGGGAGGCAGCAGUGGGGAAUAUUGGACAAUGGGCGAAAGCCUGAUCCAGCCAUGCCGCGUGUGUGAAGAAGGUCUUCGGAUUGUAAAGCACUUUAAGUUGGGAGGAAGGGCAGUAAGUUAAUACCUUGCUGUUUUGACGUUACCAACAGAAUAAGCACCGGCUAACUUCGUG
rnacentral:rRNA from 1 species